UACGAAGGGGGCUAGCGUUGUUCGGAAUUACUGGGCGUAAAGCGCACGUAGGCGGCGCAGCAAGUUGGGGGUGAAAUCCCGAGGCUCAACCUCGGAAUUGCCUUCAAAACUGCUGUGCUCGAGUUCGGAAGAGGUGAGUGGAAUUCCUAGUGUAGAGGUGAAAUUCGUAGAUAUUAGGAAGAACACCAGUGGCGAAGGCGGCUCACUGGCCCGGUACUGACGCUCAUGUGCGAAAGCGUGGGGAGCAAACAGG
rnacentral:rRNA from 1 species